GCUGGAUGGCUCAGUGGGUUGAGCAUCUGACUUCAGCUCAGGUCAUGAUCUCACAGCUUGUGAGUUCAAGCCCCACGUCUAGCU
rnacentral:tRNA from 1 species